rnacentral:rRNA from 1 species
CCUACGGGAGGCAGCAGUGGGGAAUUUUGGACAAUGGGCGCAAGCCUGAUCCAGCAAUGCCGCGUGCAGGAUGAAGGCCUUCGGGUUGUAAACUGCUUUUGUACGGAACGAAACGGUGAGCUCUAAUACAGUUUGCUAAUGACGGUACCGUAAGAAUAAGCACCGGCUAACUACGUGCCAGCAGCCGCGGUAAUACGUAGGGUGCGAGCGUUAAUCGGAAUUACUGGGCGUAAAGCGUGCGCAGGCGGUGAUGUAAGACAGAUGUGAAAUGCCCGGGCUCAACCUGGGACCUGCAUUUGUGACUGCAUCGCUAGAGUACGGUAGAGGGGGGAUGGAAUUCCGCGUGUAGCAGUGAAAUGCGUAGAUAUGCGGAGGAACACCGAUGGCGAAGGCAAUCCCCUGGACCUGUACUGACGCUCAUGCACGAAAGCGUGGGGAGGCAAACAGGAUUAGAUACCCUGGUAGUCCACGCCCUAAACCGAUGUCAACUGGUUGUUGGGUCUUCACUGACUCAGUACGAAGCUAACGCGUGAAGUUGACGCCUUGGGGAGGUACGGCCGCGAGGUUGACGACGAAGAGUUAGAGGCGNGAGAGNGCGACGGACGACGACGAGGGAGGAGG